GGACCCCUAGCUCAGUGGUAGAGCGUGAGAUUCCAGCUACGCAUGAGUGAUUCCUCAAGGUCAUCCGUUCAAUCCGGGUGGGGUUCA